UUGUGGAGAAGGACGCCGAAGGUGGGGCUGAUGACUGGGGUGAAGUCGUAACAAGGUAGCCGUACCGGAAGGUGCGGCUGGAUCACCUCCUAACAGGGAGACAAUAAAUCGAUUGUGAUGUCUAAGUUUAUUAUCUUAGGCCGCAAUCCUGUCACCUUAGGUCGAUCGGUACCUCACAUUAAUUAAUUAAUUUUAUUUUUAAGAAAUUAAUUUCAGUUCCUAAACUUGUCUAGGUCACACCCAACAUUUGUUUCUCCUGGGCCAUUAGCUCAGGUGGUUAGAGCGCACCCCUGAUAAGGGUGAGGUCCCUGGUUCAAGUCCAGGAUGGCCCAUUCGUUGUUGGGGGUAUAGCUCAGUUGGUAGAGCGCCUGCUUUGCAAGCAGGAUGUCAGCGGUUCGAGUCCGCUUACCUCCACUGAAACUACCUUAAUAAUCCAAUUUUGGAGAAAUUUUUGUAAUUGUGAUUUAGAUAUUGUCUAUUUGAAAAGAACCUAGCUUCUUAUCAUCUUCAUUAAUAGUUGAUAUGAUGCUGGGCUCACUUGGAUUUUUCAAGUGAUUUCAGUAGAACCUUGACAACUGCAUAGAUAGAAAGAAUAAAGCAUCUCAUGGAUGCAUAAUUCUGUUUUAAUAGUUUAGCUUAAUAGUUAGAUUAUUUAUAGACAGAAUUCAUGUUUAAUUCUUGAGUAAAAGCCGAGCACAAUUGAUUUUGUGAUUGUAUUUAAGGUCAAGCUACAA
rnacentral:misc_RNA from 1 species